UACGUAGGGUGCGAGCGUUAAUCGGAAUUACUGGGCGUAAAGCGUGCGCAGGCGGUUUUGUAAGCCAGAUGUGAAAUCCCCGGGCUUAACCUGGGAAUGGCAUUUGGGACUGCAAGGCUUGAGUGCGGCAGAGGAGACUGGAAUUCCUGGUGUAGCAGUGAAAUGCGCAGAUAUCAGGAGGAACACCAACAGCGAAGGCAGCACUCUGGGCCGGUACUGACGCUGAGGAGCGAAAGCAUGGGGAGCGAACAGG
rnacentral:rRNA from 1 species